rnacentral:lncRNA from 1 species
GGUGUGUUUUAUGAUUAACGACUCAUGGUGUAAUUGUAACAACAUACAAGAACUUAAGUCCUUUUGUUCACCUGACCUAGAAUUCCUCACAAUCAAAUGCCGACCGUAUUACCUCCCAAGAGAACUCUCCUCGGGUAUAGUCACAGCCGUGUAUAUACUGAACUCUACGCAAACUGGAAACCAUAUAUCCUGAGGCUGUAUUUAUUGGAGCUGGGGAUUUUAACAAAGCUAAUCUGAGAACAAGGCUACCUAAAUUCUAUCAGCAUAUCGAUUGCAGUACAUGAGCGAGUAACGCGCUCGACCAUUGCUACUCUAACUUACGCGAUGCAUACAUCGCCCUCCCCCGCCAUCCUUUUGGCAAAUCUGACCAUGACUCCAUCUUGUUGCUCUCCUCCUAUAGGCAGAAACUAAAACACGAAGAACCCGUGCUUAGGUCUGACCAAAUCGUAUUCCACGCGUCAAGAUUGCUUCGAUCACGUGGACUGGGAUAUGUUCCGGGUAGCCUCAGACAAUAACAUCGACGUACACGCUGACUCGGUGAGCGAGUUUAUAAGGAAAUGUAUAGGAGAUGUUGUACCCGCUGUGACUGUUAAAACCUUCCCUAACCAGAAACCGUGGAUUGAUGGCAGCAUUCGCGCAAAUUCUGAAAGCACGUACCACCGCAUUUAAUCACGGCAAGGCGACUGGAAACAUGGCCGAAAACAAACAGCGAAGUUAUUCCCUCCGUAAGGCAAUCGAACAAGCAAAGCGUCAGUAUAGAGAAAGUGGAGUCGCAAUUACAGGCCACGUCACCGCGCCGGGGCGAGGGAACGCUCUACUACAGACCAGGACGUGCCGAGAGAGUGGACUUAGGCUUUGCUCCUGAUAUGAGAAGGGUAGUAAUAUUUGGGUGAAUGUAGCGGCUUCAAUUCAAUUCAAAUAAUUUCAUUCUCUUUCCUUCAUUUGUUCUUUUGACAGGAUGCCAUCUCUGCCCCCCUUUAAAAAGCUAGGCAACCAGCUUGCCCGUCACAACAACAAACAAUGUUUCAUUCUAAUUUAGCUCCAGUGCCAACAGCCUAAGUUAGUCAGUCAGCCAGUCACAGUCACAGGACAACCUUUCAGCUGCCAAACAAACACAUGGUGUGUAUGUUUUCAUCCACAGCCCAAGGGAUGAGGGUCAGGGCAGGACGACUCUGAACAACACUAAGAGACAGGGACGAGGGUCAGGACGACUCUGAACAACACUAGGAGACAGGGACGAGGGUCAGGACGACUCUGAACAACACUAAGACAGGGACGAGGGGCAGGACGACUCUGAACAACACUAAGACAGGGACGAGGGUUAGGACGACUCUGAACAACACUAAGAGACAGGGACGAGGGUCAGGACAACUCUGAACAACACUAAGAGACAGGGACGAGGGUCAGGACGACUCUGAACAACACUAAGAGACAGGGACGAGGGUCAGGACGACUCUGAACAACACUAAGACAGGGACGAGGGUCAGGACGACUCUGAACAACACUAAGAGACAGGGACGAGGGUCAGGACGACUCUGAACAACACUAAGAGACAGGGACGAGGGUCAGGACGACUCUGAACAACACUAAGAGACAGGGACGAGGGUCAGGACGACUCUGAACAACACUAAGAGACAGGGACGAGGGUCAGGACGACUCUGAACAACACUAAGACAGGGACGAGGGUCAGGACGACUCUGAACAACACUAAGAGACAGGGACGAGGGUCAGGACGACUCUGAACAACACCAAGAGACAGGGACGAGGGUCAGGACGACUCUGAACAACACUAAGAGACAGGGACGAGGGUCAGGACGACUCUG